ensembl:lncRNA
UAACGACACCAGUCAGUAGCCGAGAUGACCCAGGUGCGAAGGUCGGUGGGAGAGGCGCUGUGGGGAAUGUGUGCCGCUGACGCCAUGUCCAUGCCUGCGCACUGGUACUACAACAUCGAUGACAUCAAGAGAGAUUUUGGAGGAUGGAUCACCGGCUUCAACGCUCCCAACAAAAGACACCCGUCCAGCAUCCUCACCCUCUCCAACUCAGCGGGGAGCGGUCGCACUGCAUGGUCCUCUGGUGGGAACAGACCCCAUGUUGUGGGUAGCGUAAUCCUCCAUAACAAGCUCAAGUUCUGGAAGGCAUCAGGUGGAUCAGUCCACUAUCACCAAGGUCUCCAAGCAGGUGAGAAUACCCUGAAUGCCAUCUGCUCCCUGAGGGUGGCACAGGCCCUGACAGGGGGGAAGUUUGCCAGCGUGGCAGAACCAGUGGCGAGGGGGGCGGUGCUGGCUGAUUACGUACACUUCAUGACCACGCCAGGAACACAUGGAGACACCUACGCAGAGUCCUUCCACAGAGCAUUCUUCUCCGACUGGCAAGACCCCAGACCCACUUCCUCCAGCAAGGUGUUGAAGUUUGCAGAGCAGCGCUACCAGCAGAAGAUGAACAUGUCAGUCCCUGACAGCCAGCUAGACGCUAUUAGCUGCCUCCCCAUGGCCAUCCCCUUUGUGCUUCUCUCUGCCACAGCCAAUGAGGACCAAGCUGUGUCUGCAGCGGUAGAGUUUGUCCGGCUCACCCACCCCCACCCCAAGGUGGAGAAAUAUGUGACGCUGUACGCCCGAGCCCUCCAUGCCACUCUGAAUGGGGCGUGUCUGAAGCAGCAAGCGGAGGCCGCCCUCAAGUCACCCGACCUGGACGCAUGGGACACUUGCAAGCCCUACAUACAGAAAGCAGCCAGGUUUCCAACCUCUUCUGCAGAGGGGCUCACGGUUCACCAGAGUGCAGUGGAAAUGCUUGGCAUGGCCUGCUACACCCGAGGUGCCCUCAGUAGUAUGUUCUACCUAGCACAUGAGUUUCACAACGACCCUCAUGGAGGGAUCCUGGCAAACACCAAUUGUGGCGGAGAGAACUGCAACAGGGGUUCUGCUUUGGGGGCUCUGCUGGGGGCGAGGGCAGGGUACACGGGUGGAUCUGUACCCCAGGAGUGGAAGGAUGGAUUGAGGAACACACAGGAACCCAUCCAUGAAAUAGUAAAGAUGCUCCGAGACUGCCCCCUAUAGGACUUAAAGCCAGCAUCAGAGCACUGACACACAUACCUUACCUCCGUUUGAUCCCCUAUUGUUGACCAAUCACCGAAGAUGGGGCGUAGACUUUGGCUACGGAACUUUGACAAUCCUCAAGAAAAACAUGUGUGAUGAACAGCCCGGGGGGAAGACCCUGCCGAACGCUGCCGAACACCUAAAACGUCACAGAAUUUCAUCCUAAAAUAUGCGGGAUCUUUUUCGACUUUGAAUCAUACCGUAAGCUUUAAACUCAUAUCGAGUUUGAGUGGAAGAAGAAAAAGUUAACCUAGUUUAAAGUACAUUUGAUCAUAUACAUUGAUUGCAGAAGCAGGCAGACAGUAGCCUGCAACAUUUCUACAUUCCUUGUUUCCAAGUUAUGCGAAGGGAAACAUUGUGAAUUAAUUAUGGCAGUUCAAUGGUAACUUAUUUUAUCAGUCUUAUUUUCAUUUGGAUAUAACCUAGUGAAGUUAUUUGAAAGGUAAUAUGCCCUGCAGAAUUGUGUUUUAAAGUUGAAUAAAAGCAUUUAUGCUGGUCGAUUAUGCGCACAAACAAUAGUAUACACUGUUACAAUCUUAUGUACUGUAAUUAAGGUGUGAAAACAUUAAUUAUCUAACAUCUACAGUACAUGCUGCUUUUCAUAUGGAUCUUGUUUAUUAUCUAUAUAUUUUUAUAUCCUUCAGGCCCAAUAAAUGGUGUCUCAUUACCAAAUCUAACCACUGUCAACAACUGUCCUUCAGGCCCAAUAAAUGGUGUCUCAUUACAAAAUCUAACCACUGUCAACAACUGUCCUUCAGGCCCAAUAAAUGGUGUCUCAUUACCAAAUCUAACCACUGUCAACAACUGUUAUUGUCCUGUCUUCUUCA